CCCAGUGCGCACCGCUCUUCACGCAGGCAGCCAUGCGGCGAGCCCGGGAGCUGCUCGCCUUCUGCUGCCUGGUCUUGAGCACCACCGGGCGCCCUUCGCGAGUUCUGUGCUUCUCUCUUUCAGAUUUUUGUGCCCAGACCCUUAACUCAGAUGUGAAGCCAGGAUUUCCUAAAACAAUAAACCCCAAUGACUCAGCAGUCCUCAAAGCGGCCAGACACAGCGUUGAAAGGUUCAACAACUGCACAAAUGACAUCUUCUUGUUCAAGGAGUCCCACAUCAGCAGAGCCCUGGUCCAGGGCCCAUCCCUGCUGAUGGAGAGUUCUGGGCAGGAAGGAAAUGUCUUGGACACAGAGCCGCAGUCUCACCUGGGGACCAAGAACUGGUGCCAUGAGCAGGACCAACAUGAAUGGAUUGUGAAGGGUCUGAAGUACAUGCUGGACAUGGAGAUUGGCAGAACUUCUUGCAAGAAGACCCAACACCCUAGUCUAGACAACUGUGACUUCCAGACCAACCACACCUUACAACGGAUGUGAAAUUCUUCAAAACAACUUGGGGCAAGGGAGAGCUUAAUAAGGAAAAUGCACACACACACAGACUUUCAGUUGCUACUCUGAAGUUUGGGUCAUCCCCUGGCUCCAGAGGUUCGAGGUGCCCGUCCUCCACUGUCAGUGACUUCCACCUCACAGCAAGACUGCACCUGUGCUGUUUACUGUGCUCAGUCACAGCCCUGUCCUGGCUGUCACAGACCCUUGGACCUUCUAUAGGAGCUCAGCAGUGAGCAGAAGUGCCCACAGGUUCACUGCAAAGUAGCCAGAGUGGAAGAAAAAGAUACUACCCCUGGCUAGAUUAUUUCACAUUUUUUUCUAAACUUCAUUUUACUAAUGCUGUGUCCCAGACAGAUUUGGGGUCUGGACACACACAGGAGCGAGUCCUCUGGUGGGAAUUUUUCAGGUUCUGGACCCCUGAGCAAGCCCAAUUACCCUGUGGUCCCACGCUCACCAAUGAAAAGCCCAGAGAUCCAUCCUUCUGACUGAAUAACUGUUACAGCACUGGGCAGAGGACCCAAGUCUGCUAUUAAGCAUCUUUGGCCUUUCAUGGAUGAAUAAAGUCAUGAAUAAAUAGGAAUAAAGAACUGACCAUCUCAAAGCAUCUUUAAAGGGACAGUUAGGAAGGUGAGGUGUUGUGAGGGGUGCCCCUCACUUAGUGGUCUAAUGAGUAUAAGUGACUUCCAUAAAGCCCCUUGGAGGCUUUUCCAGCCACUCACUGCUAGCUAAAAUAUACUGAAGACCAAAGCAGCCAAAACAGGCCAGCAUAUAUCUACAUCAUGAACUGGCAGGACAGAAAGCACCCGACUUUGGAGGGCACUUACCCUCCAGCUGGGUAUUCUUCUGACAGGGAGCCAUACACCCAAGUUCUCUCCACUGCCUCUGAGGCUCAGCAUGCACACAGCAGCACCUGGGCAGGUGGGGUGAGGCAGAGUGCUGGGACCACUGCCCACAGCACUUCAAAAGAAGGGAGUCGAGGUUAGGGAUGGAGGUGUUGUGUUGAGGAGUUGGGAGAAGGAGGGGACCACUAUGAGGUGGGAGGCACUAGCGUCCUCGUAAAAGACAGGGAUUGAGCUGGCAUUAGAAAGUGCAAGGCUGGGCCACAGAGACACCCAGGAGCUUGUAG